rnacentral:rRNA from 1 species
ACUCAAAGGAAUAGACGGGGACCCGCACAAGCGGUGGAUGAUGUGGAUUAAUUCGAUGCAACGCGAAAAACCUUACCUACCCUUGACAUGGCAGAAACCUCCGAGAGAUUGGAGGGUGCUCGAAAGAGAAUCUGCACACAGGUGCUGCAUGGCUGUCGUCAGCUCGUGUCGUGAGAUGUUGGGUUAAGUCCCGCAACGAGCGCAACCCUUGUCAUUAGUUGCUACGAAAGGGCACUCUAAUGAGACUGCCGGUGACAAACCGGAGGAAGGUGGGGAUGACGUCAAGUCCUCAUGGCCCUUAUGGGUAGGGCUUCACACGUCAUACAAUGGUACAUACAGAGGGCCGCCAACCCGCGAGGGGGAGCUAAUCCCAGAAAGUGUAUCGUAGUCCGGAUUGUAGUCUGCAACUCGACUGCAUGAAGUUGGAAUCGCUAGUAAUCGCGGAUCAGCAUGUCGCGGUGAAUACGUUCCCGGGUCUUGUACACACCGCCCGU